rnacentral:rRNA from 1 species
GACGAACGCUGGCGGCGUGCUUAACACAUGCAAGUCGAACGGGCCCUUCGGGGUCAGUGGCAGACGGGUGAGUAACGCGUGGGAACGUGCCCUUCAGUUUGGGAUAACCCAGGGAAACUUGGGCUAAUACCGGAUACGUGCGAGAGCAGAAAGAUUUAUCGCUGAAGGAUCGGCCCGCGUCUGAUUAGCUGGUUGGUAGGGUAAUGGCCUACCAAGGCGACGAUCAGUAGCUGGUCUGAGAGGAUGAUCAGCCACAUUGGGACUGAGACACGGCCCAAACUCCUACGGGAGGCAGCAGUGGGGAAUAUUGGACAAUGGGCGCAAGCCUGAUCCAGCCAUGCCGCGUGAGUGAUGAAGGCCUUAGGGUUGUAAAGCUCUUUCAGUGGGGACGAUAAUGACGGUACCCGCAGAAGAAGCCCCGGCUAACUUCGUGCCAGCAGCCGCGGUAA